AAACUAACAAGGAUUCCCUUAGUAGCGGCGAGCGAAGCGGGAUGAGCUCAAAUUUGAAAUCUGGCGUCUUUCAGGCGUCCGAGUUGUAAUCUAUAGAAGCGUUUUCUGUGCUGGACCGUGUCCAAGUCCCUUGGAACAGGGUAUCAAAGAGGGUGACAAUCCCGUACUUGACACGACCACCAGUGCUCUGUGAUACGUUUUCGACGAGUCGAGUUGUUUGGGAAUGCAGCUCAAAAUGGGUGGUAAAUUCCAUCUAAAGCUAAAUAUUGGCGAGAGACCGAUAGCGAACAAGUACCGUGAGGGAAAGAUGAAAAGCACUUUGGAAAGAGAGUUAAACAGUACGUGAAAUUGUUGAAAGGGAAACGAUUGAAGUCAGUCGUGUCUAUUGGUUUCAGCCGGUCCUGCCGGUGUAUUACCUUUAGACGGGUCAACAUCAGUUUUGGACGGCAGAUAAGGGCAGUUUGAAGGUAGCACCUCCGGGUGUGUUAUAGCUUUCUGCCGCAUAUGCUGUCCGAGACUGAGGACUGCAGCUCGCCUUUUAGGCCGGGGUUCGCCCACGUUCGAGCUUAGGAUGUUGACAUAAUGGCUUUAAACGAC
rnacentral:rRNA from 1 species